GAUGAACGCUAGCUACAGGCUUAACACAUGCAAGUCGAGGGGAAACGGCAUUUUAGCUUGCUAAGAUGGACGUCGACCGGCGAAUGGGUGAGUAACGCGUAUCCAACCUUCCGUUAAGUAGGGAAUAGCCUUGCGAAAGUAAGAUUAAUGCCCCUAUGUGGUGUUUUUGAGGACCAUCUGAAGAGCACCAAAGGGUUUACCCGCUUAACGAUGGGGAUGCGUCUGAUUAGGUUGUUGGCGGGGGCAAACGGGCCCCACCAAGCCUACGAUCAGUAGGGGUUCUGAGAGGAAGGUCCCCCCANAUUGGAACUGAGAC
rnacentral:rRNA from 1 species